rnacentral:tRNA from 1 species
UGUGAGUGGUGACGGAGACGGACUUCAAAU